rnacentral:rRNA from 1 species
AAAAACAUCGCCUCUUGCAAAAUCAAUGAAUAAGAGGUCCCGCCUGCCCUGUGACUGAAAGUUUAACGGCCGCGGUAUUUUGACCGUGCGAAGGUAGCGCAAUCACUUGUCUUUUAAAUGGAGACCUGUAUGAAUGGCAUAACGAGGGCUUAGCUGUCUCCUCUUUCAAGUCAAUGAAAUUGAUCUCCCCGUGCAGAAGCGGGGAUACGCACAUAAGACGAGAAGACCCUAUGGAGCUUUAGACACCAAGGCAGACCAUGUUAAAAACCCUAGAACAAAAGACCAAACCAAAUGAACCCUGCCCUAAUGUCUUUGGUUGGGGCGACCGCGGGGAAACACAAAACCCCCAUGUGGAAUGAGAACACCUCCUCUCACAACCAAGAGCUCCCGCUCUAAUAAACAGAAUUUCUGACCAACUAGAUCCGGCAAGACCGAUCAACGGACCGAGUUACCCUAGGGAUAACAGCGCAAUCCCCUUUUAGAGGCCAUAUCGACAAGGGGGUUUACGACCUCGAUGUUGGAUCAGGACAUCCUAAUGGUGCAGCCGCUAUUAAGGGUUCGUUUGUUCAACGAUUAAAGUCCUACGUGAUCU